GAGACAGCAGUAGCCACGGUAAUACGUAGGGCGCAAGCGUUGUCCGGAAUUAUUGGGCGUAAAGAGCUCGUAGGCGGUCUGUCGCGUCUGGUGUGAAAUCCCGAGGCUCAACCUCGGGCUUGCAUCGGGUACGGGCAGACUAGAGUGCGGUAGGGGAGACUGGAAUUCCUGGUGUAGCGGUGGAAUGCGCAGAUAUCAGGAGGAACACCGAUGGCGAAGGCAGGUCUCUGGGCCGCAACUGACGCUGAGGAGCGAAAGCAUGGGGAGCGAACAGGAUUAGAUACCCCCGUAGUCCCUGUCUCUUAUAC
rnacentral:rRNA from 1 species